GGGGAAUAUUGGACAAUGGGGGCAACCCUGAUCCAGCAAUGCCGCGUGUGUGAAGAAGGUUUUCGGAUUGUAAAGCACUUUCGACGGGGACGAUGAUGACGGUACCCGUGGAAGAAGCCCCGGCUAACUUCGUGCCAGCAGCCGCGGUAAUACGAAGGGGGCUAGCGUUGCUCGGAAUGACUGGGCGUAAAGGGCGUGUAGGCGGUUUGUACAGUCAGAUGUGAAAUCCCCGGGCUUAACCCUGGGAGC
rnacentral:rRNA from 1 species